UGUAUUUUGUUUUGUAGGGUUUGCUCAUACUUGAGGCAUGUUUAGAAAUUUAGUUUUAUUUGUGGCAAUGUUCAUGGUUCUACAUAUGAGCAGUCAUUAGCUAAUAUAGAUGCUCAUAUGUGUGUUUAAUUAAUUAUUGUGGACUAUACUAUAGGUGAUCAACCAUGGAGUUUCAAAGGAGUUGAUGGAUGAUACGAUGGAUAUUUUCAAGGAAUUUCAUGCAAUGUCUGAAGUAGAAAAGAUAAGUGAAAGUUCAAAGGAUCCAAAUGGUAGUUAUAAGCUAUAUACAAGUCGUGAGAUUAAUAACAAAAACUGUAUUCAAUAUUGGAGAGACACAUUAACACAUUAAGCCAAAGAUUGCAUACAAGUGGUGAGUUUAUGGAGUUUUGGCCACAAAAGCCUACAAGAUACCGGUAAAAUACACAAACUCCUUGAGGUCUUGGUCAAUUUUUAUAUGAACAAAUAACCACAUAUGUUUAUUUAAUCAAAGUUUGAUUUUGUUUAUUCAAUUAAAAAUUGACCAAGACCUCAAGGAGUUUGUGUAUUUUAUCGUUAUCUUGUAGGUUUUUGUGGCCAAAACUCCAUAAAUUCACCACUUGUAUGAAAUCUUUGUCUUAAUGUGUCUCUCCAAUAUUGAAUGCAGUCUUUGUUAUUGA